rnacentral:rRNA from 1 species
UACGUAGGGUGCAAGCGUUAAUCGGAAUUACUGGGCGUAAAGCGUGCGCAGGCGGUUCGGAAAGAGAGGUGUGAAAUCCCAGGGCUUAACCUUGGAACUGCACUUCUAACUACCGGGCUAGAGUACGUCAGGGGGGGGUAGAAUUCCACGUGUAGCAGUGAAACGCGUAGAGAUGUGGAGGAAUACCGAUGGCGAAGGCAGCCCCCUGGGAUGAUACUGACGCUCAUGCACGAAAGCGUGGGGAGCAAACAGG